AUUGAACGCUGGCGGCAUGCCUUACACAUGCAAGUCGAACGGCAGCAUGGAGAGCUUGCUCUCUGAUGGCGAGUGGCGAACGGGUGAGUAAUGCAUCGGAACGUACCGUGUAAUGGGGGAUAACGUAGCGAAAGUUACGCUAAUACCGCAUACGACCUGAGGGUGAAAGCAGGGGAUCGCAAGACCUUGCGUUAUACGAGCGGCCGAUGUCAGAUUAGCUAGUUGGUGAGGUAAAGGCUCACCAAGGCGACGAUCUGUAGCGGGUCUGAGAGGAUGAUCCGCCACACUGGGACUGGGACACGGCCCAGACUCCUACGGGAGGCAGCAGUGGGGAAUUUUGGACAAUGGGGGCAACCCUGAUCCAGCCAUGCCGCGCGAGUGAAGAAGGCCUUCGGGUUGUAAAGCUCUUUCGACCGGGAAGAAAUCGCACAGGCUAAUACUCUGUGUGGAUGACGGUACCGGCAUAAGAAGCACCGGCUAACUACGUGCCAGCCGCCGCCGUAA
rnacentral:rRNA from 1 species